rnacentral:rRNA from 1 species
AGCGAACGCUGGCGGCAGGCCUAACACAUGCAAGUCGAACGAACCCUUCGGGGUUAGUGGCGGACGGGUGAGUAACACGUGGGAACGUGCCUUUAGGUUCGGAAUAACUCAGGGAAACUUGUGCUAAUACCGAAUGUGCCCUUCGGGGGAAAGAUUUAUCGCCUUCAGAGCGGCCCGCGUCUGAUUAGCUAGUUGGUGAGGUAAUGGCUCACCAAGGCUACGAUCAGUAGCUGGUCUGAGAGGAUGACCAGCCACAUUGGGACUGAGACACGGCCCAAACUCCUACGGGAGGCAGCAGUGGGGAAUCUUGCGCAUGGGCGAAAGCCUGACGCAGCCAUGCCGCGUGGAUGAUGAAGGUCUUAGGAUUGUAAAAUCCUUUCACCGGUGAAGAUAAUGACUGUAGCCGGAGAAGAAGCCCCGGCUAACUUCGUGCCAGCCGCCGCCGUAAUAC